rnacentral:rRNA from 1 species
GAACGCUAGCUACAGGCUUAACACAUGCAAGUCGAGGGGCAGCAUGGUCUUAGCUUGCUAAGACUGAUGGCGACCGGCGCACGGGUGAGUAACACGUAUCCAACCUGCCGUCUACUCUUGGACAGCCUUCUGAAAGGAAGAUUAAUACAAGAUGGCAUCAUGAGUCCACAUGUUCACAUGAUUAAAGGUAUUCCGGUAGACGAUGGGGAUGCGUUCCAUUAGAUAGUAGGCGGGGUAACGGCCCACCUAGUCUUCGAUGGAUAGGGGUUCUGAGAGGAAGGUCCCCCACAUUGGAACUGAGACACGGUCCAAACUCCUACGGGAGGCAGCAGUGAGGAAUAUUGGUCAAUGGGCGAGAGCCUGAACCAGCCAAGUAGCGUGAAGGAUGACUGCCCUAUGGGUUGUAAACUUCUUUUAUAAAGGAAUAAAGUCGGGUAUGCAUACCCGUUUGCAUGUACUUUAUGAAUAAGGAUCGGCUAACUCCGUGCCAGCAGCCGCGGUAAUACGGAGGAUCCGAGCGUUAUCCGGAUUUAUUGGGUUUAAAGGGAGCGUAGAUGGAUGUUUAAGUCAGUUGUGAAAGUUUGCGGCUCAACCGUAAAAUUGCAGUUGAUACUGGAUAUCUUGAGUGCAGUUGAGGCAGGCGGAAUUCGUGGUGUAGCGGUGAAAUGCUUAGAUAUCACGAAGAACUCCGAUUGCGAAGGCAGCCUGCUAAGCUGCAACUGACAUUGAGGCUCGAAAGUGUGGGUAUCAAACAGGAUUAGAUACCCUGGUAGUCCACACGGUAAACGAUGAAUACUCGCUGUUUGCGAUAUACGGCAAGCGGCCAAGCGAAAGCGUUAAGUAUUCCACCUGGGGAGUACGCCGGCAACGGUGAAACUCAAAGGAAUUGACGGGGGCCCGCACAAGCGGAGGAACAUGUGGUUUAAUUCGAUGAUACGCGAGGAACCUUACCCGGGCUUAAAUUGCAGAUGAAUUACGGUGAAAGCCGUAAGCCGCAAGGCAUCUGUGAAGGUGCUGCAUGGUUGUCGUCAGCUCGUGCCGUGAGGUGUCGGCUUAAGUGCCAUAACGAGCGCAACCCUUGUUGUCAGUUACUAACAGGUUCCGCUGAGGACUCUGACAAGACUGCCAUCGUAAGAUGUGAGGAAGGUGGGGAUGACGUCAAAUCAGCACGGCCCUUACGUCCGGGGCUACACACGUGUUACAAUGGGGGGUACAGAGGGCCGCUACCACGCGAGUGGAUGCCAAUCCCCAAAACCUCUCUCAGUUCGGACUGGAGUCUGCAACCCGACUCCACGAAGCUGGAUUCGCUAGUAAUCGCGCAUCAGCCACGGCGCGGUGAAUACGUUCCCGGGCCUUGUACACACCGCCCGUCAAGCCAUGGGAGCCGGGGGUACCUGAAGUGCGUAACCGCGAGGAGCGCCCUAGGGUAAAACUGGUGACUGGGGCUAA